UACGUAGGGGGCAAGCGUUGUCCGGAAUCAUUGGGCGUAAAGAGCGUGUAGGCGGUUCGGUAAGUCGGCUGUGAAAGUCCAGGGCUCAACCCUGGGAUGCCGGUGGAUACUGUCGGGCUAGAGUCCGGAAGAGGCGAGUGGAAUUCCUGGUGUAGCGGUGGAAUGCGCAGAUAUCAGGAGGAACACCAAUAGCGAAGGCAGCUCGCUGGGACGGUACUGACGCUGAGACGCGAAAGCGUGGGGAGCGAACAGG
rnacentral:rRNA from 1 species